UACGUAGGGAGCAAGCGUUGUCCGGAAUCAUUGGGCGUAAAGCGCGCGUAGGUGGCCUCAUAAGUCCGCUGUGAAAAGUCAAAGGCUCAACCUUUGAAAAGCCGGUGGAUACUGUGGGGGCUAGAGUACGGAAGAGGCGAGUGGAAUUCCUGGUGUAGCGGUGGGAAUGCGCAGAUAUCAGGAGGAACACCAAUAGCGAAGGCAGCUCGCUGGGACGUUACUGACACUGAGGCGCGAAAGCGUGGGGAGCAAACAGG
rnacentral:rRNA from 1 species